UACGGAAGGCAGCAGUGGGGAAUAUUGCACAAUGGGCGCAAGCCUGAUGCAGCCAUGCCGCGUGUAUGAAAAAGGCCUUCGGGUUGUAAAGUACUUUCAGUCGUGAGGAAGGUGUUAAGGUUAAUAACCUUAGCAAUUGACGUUAGCGACAGAAGAAGCACCGGCUAACUCCGUGCCAGCAGCCGCGGUAAUACGGAGGGUGCGAGCGUUAAUCGGAAUUACUGGGCGUAAAGGGCACGCAGGCGGUUAAUUAAGUUGGAUGUGAAAUCCCCGGGCUUAACCUGGGAAUGGCAUUCAAGACUGGUUAGCUAGAGUCUUGUAGAGGGGGUAGAAUUCCAUGUGUAGCGGUGAAAUGCGUAGAGAUGUGGAGGAAUACCGGUGGCGAAGGCGGCCCCCUGGACAAAGACUGACGCUCAUGUGCGAAAGCGUGGGGAGCAAAACAGGGAUUAGAUACC
rnacentral:rRNA from 1 species